rnacentral:lncRNA from 1 species
AACAGACCCAUUUACACCUUACCCCUAAUAAACCUAUUAGCCCCUAAAACCCCUAACCCGAUUACAAAACUUAAGUGGCCCAAUUGGCCCAAACUUUUACACUGAGGCAGGAAACCCUAGGGUUUCUGCCUUUCCCUCCUAGCGCCGCAACAUCUUCUAGAAGAUUCGGGGAGCGUCUGUCCAGCUCUCGAAUCAAAGCCAUCAAUGCGCUAUCCAGAAGCCUGUCUCCCUCACGUCUGUCCAGCUCCUAAAUCAAGGCCGGAUCGACUCUGUUCCAGCGACCUUUCGCUGUCGAGAUUGUUGCUCCUACAGCAAUCCUGGCCUUGGAUUGUGCCACCAUUGGCGCUCCAGCAUUCAUCACGCCAGUAAAUCACUGAGAUCCUCGCGGUUAACUGCAAAAAAGGAAAGAAAACACAGCAGAAAAGGAAAAUAGAUAGGAGAAAAAGAUAUCAAAGAUUUUUUUCUAAAUGUAAACAGUUCAUAAAGGGCUAUAAAAGCCUCUUCACAAAUCUGUACAAAGGACCGGAUUUGGAGAAAAAAAAUACACUUACACAUAUUUAUAAAGGAGAAGUUCAAGCAUUUUCUUUCAAAAAGGUGAUUCGAGUUUUUUUUUUAUUCUGUUAUUUAUUCAACGAAUAUACAAAUCGAUCUUUAGCAAAGAAUUGAUAGUAUUAUGGAAAAGGAAGAGGUUACCUGCGAUUUUCUUGAAAGAAUGAGGGUUUUUUAACCCUCCGACCACCGAGUGUGGUGGCGCGUAAGCGCAUGAGAAGACU